UACGGAGGAUCCGAGCGUUAUCCGGAUUUAUUGGGUUUAAAGGGUGCGCAGGCGGGAGAUUAAGUCGGCGGUGAAAUUUUGCAGCUCAACUGUAAAAGUGCCUUCGAAACUGGUUUCCUUGAGUGUGGAUGAAGUAGGCGGAAUUUGUGGUGUAGCGGUGAAAUGCAUAGAGAUCACACAGAAUAUCGAUUGCGAAGGCAGCUCACAAAGCCAAGAUUGACGCUGAGGCACGAAAGUGUGGGGAUCAAACAGGAUUAGA
rnacentral:rRNA from 1 species